GACGAACGCUGGCGGCGUGCUUAACACAUGCAAGUCGAACGGUGAUCCUCCAGCUUGCUGGAGGUGAUCAGUGGCGAACGGGUGAGUAACACGUGAGCAACCUGCCCCCGACUCUGGGAUAACUCCGGGAAACCGGGGCUAAUACCGGAUACGACACCGCUGGGCAUCUGGUGGUGUGGAAAGUUCUUCGGUCGGGGAUGGGCUCGCGGCCUAUCAGCUUGUUGGUGGGGUGAUGGCCUACCAAGGCGACGACGGGUAGCCGGCCUGAGAGGGCGACCGGCCACACUGGGACUGAGACACGGCCCAGACUCCUACGGGAGGCAGCAGUGGGGAAUAUUGCGCAAUGGGCGAAAGCCUGACGCAGCGACGCCGCGUGAGGGAUGAAGGCCUUCGGGUUGUAAACCUCUUUCAGCAGGGAAGAAGCGCAAGUGACGGUACCUGCAGAAGAAGCACCGGCUAACUACGUGCCAGCAGCCGCGGUAAUACGUAGGGUGCAAGCGUUGUCCGGAAUUAUUGGGCGUAAAGAGCUCGUAGGCGGUCUGUCGCGUCUGCUGUGAAAACGCGGGGCUCAACCCCGCGCCUGCAGUGGGUACGGGCAGACUAGAGUGCAGUAGGGGAGACUGGAAUUCCUGGUGUAGCGGUGGAAUGCGCAGAUAUCAGGAGGAACACCGGUGGCGAAGGCGGGUCUCUGGGCUGUAACUGACGCUGAGGAGCGAAAGCGUGGGUAGCGAACAGGAUUAGAUACCCUGGUAGUCCACGCCGUAAACGUUGGGCGCUAGGUGUGGGGCUCAUUCCACGAGCUCCGUGCCGCAGCUAACGCAUUAAGCGCCCCGCCUGGGGAGUACGGCCGCAAGGCUAAAACUCAAAGGAAUUGACGGGGCCCCGCACAAGCGGCGGAGCAUGCGGAUUAAUUCGAUGCAACGCGAAGAACCUUACCAAGGCUUGACAUGCAGGGUAAUCCGCCAGAGAUGGCGGGUCCGCAAGGGAUCCUGCACAGGUGGUGCAUGGUUGUCGUCAGCUCGUGUCGUGAGAUGUUGGGUUAAGUCCCGCAACGAGCGCAACCCUCGUCCUAUGUUGCCAGCGGGUCGUGCCGGGGACUCAUAGGAGACUGCCGGGGUCAACUCGGAGGAAGGUGGGGAUGACGUCAAAUCAUCAUGCCCCUUAUGUCUUGGGCUUCACGCAUGCUACAAUGGCCAGUACAAAGGGCUGCGAGACCGUGAGGUGGAGCGAAUCCCAAAAAGCUGGUCUCAGUCCGGAUCGGGGUCUGCAACUCGACCCCGUGAAGUCGGAGUCGCUAGUAAUCGCAGAUCAGCAACGCUGCGGUGAAUACGUUCCCGGG
rnacentral:rRNA from 1 species